CAUUUCACCUCCUUCAUCCGAGAUUACCCGCUGAACUUAAGCAUAUCAAUAAGCGGAGGAAAAGAAACCAACAGGGAUUGCCUCAGUAACGGCGAGUGAAGCGGCAAAAGCUCAAAUUUGAAACCCUCGGGAUUGUAAUUUGAAGAUUUGGCAUUGGAGAAAGCUAACCCAAGUUGCUUGGAAUAGUACGUCAUAGAGGGUGACAACCCCGUCUGGCUAACCGUUCUCCAUGUAUUGCCUUAUCAAAGAGUCGAGUUGUU
rnacentral:rRNA from 1 species